GAUGAACGCUGGCGGCGUGCCUAAUACAUGCAAGUCGAGCGGACGGACGAGAAGCUUGCUUCACUGAUGUUAGCGGCGGACGGGUGAGUAACACGUGAAUAACCUACCUAUAAGACUUGGAUAACUUCGGGAAACCGGAGCUAAUACCGGGUAAUAUUUUGAACCGCAUGGUUCAAAAGUGAAAGACGGUCUUGCUGUCACUUAUAGAUGGAUCCUCGCUGCAUUAGCUAGUUGGUAAGGUAACGGCUUACCAUGGCAACGAUGCAUAGCCGACCUGAGAGGGUGAUCGGCCACACUGGAACUGAGACACGGUCCAGAGUCCUACGGGAGGCAGCAGUAGGGAAUCUUCCGCGAUGGGCGAAAGCCUGACGGAGCAACGCCACGUGAGUGAUGAAGGUCUUCGGGUCGUAAAACUCUGUUAUUAGGGAAGAACAUUUGUGUAAGUAACUGUGCACAUCUUGACGGUACCUAGUCAGAAAGCCACGGCUAACUACGUG
rnacentral:rRNA from 1 species